UGUUCGGCUUAUUUCCUCACCAGGUGGCAGCACUGCCUUCUUUGGACACAGAAACUGUGGCGGCGAAUGCGCCACUGUGUUUUGCACUGUGUGGAGUCCGUGCGGUGUCGGUCCAUGGGACUGAAUUUCGGUGAAUUUGAUCGCAAUUGAGUUGAAUUUUGCUCAGAUGGGUUGUGAAUUUAUAUUCAGCAAGUGUCACAAGCAUGGAAAGGCAAGUUUUGAGAGGACAGAAGACUUAGAAAGGCUUCAAUUGACGUAGCCGAAGAGAGGCGAGAAGCCGAAGAUAGAACGACUCCAAACGGUGCCCAGUGCAAUCAUGCUUCUGGUGUGGAGUUGUCAGGAUGGAGUCCGAGGAAUCAAUGAAGGCAGAGGACCUGCAUAUGAAGGAACCAGCCCUGCGGAUGAAGUUCUGAGGUGCAUACAGAGGGAUCCCACUGAAAGACCAGGUGCAAUGCUGCAUUGAUAAGAUCCAGAUUCAAGAGCAUGGAUGCUACCAGACCCUGUGAUUUGAAGUUACCAGUGUCACUGCUGCUACAUGACAUCAGCAACACUUCCUUUGGUGAAAGUUUAGAGGAGCAAACAGUUGGUGCUCUGUGUAGUCAAGCAGUGGAGUUUUGCCACAAUCAUGAAGUUGAUUAAGGUGUCAAUUUUUGCUCUGGCUUCUGGGACACCUUGGAUCUACAUUGCAACCUAUGCUAGUGUUCAACAUUUCGUGUCAUAGUAUCACUGGUGCAAAGCGUGUUGCAUCAUACACAAAUGAGAGCCAGCAAAUUGUCAGAUAUUUUCCAGUGAUAGAGAACUGCAUGCCUUAAGCAAUUGUUGAAGGUGAUAAGUGGUGAAUGGUAGGGCUCAGUCACUCAGCUCCUUCCUUCAAAAGCUAUCAAUCAGCUCUAGAAGAGUAGUCAUAGCAAUGCUUCAUAUGUGAAGGCUGCUUGCCUGAACAGAACAUUGUGGAUUUGUUAAUUAAGUACCUCUUUAUUACAAGUUUGUGCCCAUUACAAGCCAACCUUAGUUUACUUAGUUUGUUGCAAGUUUUCCAGGCAGCCUACACACUUGUGUCGCUGAAUAUUAAACUUUAACUGAUAGACCGACGAGAUAUUGUCCCUUUCGCAUCAGAUUGUAAUCAGUCAGUCGUGUUGGUAGAAGGUACAGUCUGUCUUAAAAGUACCGCGUAAAGUGACGGUGGAUCCAUCAAGCCUGACCGAGGAAGGGCCUGCUAUAAUUUGAAAGUCACCGAACCAAUUGACCUGGGGAACAGACGAGGAUGUCAUAUAGAGCCACGCAGAAAUCGCCGGUGAUUCGUUGCCCAUCAUUACAGAAUGAACGCAUGCCGGAUGAAGUUAAGUCAAUAGUCUGUACAAACUACAGGCAUGUGAUUGACUUAUCUGACGGUGACGAGCGCUAGAGGUCAACUUAAGACCGUAGGUAUGCGUUCUUGUCAUGGAAUGUGUGCUGUAAAUCGGUUGUUUCAUGCGUGUGAAUAUAUGUCUGAAUGUAAUAAGGUUUUUAAUUUCAACUGUGUAAGUUAAAAUA
rnacentral:lncRNA from 1 species